rnacentral:rRNA from 1 species
UACGAGGGGGGCAAGCGUUGUUCGGAAUUACUGGGCGUAAAGGGCGCUUAGGCGGCCCUCUCAGUCAGACGUGAAAUCCCUCGGCUCAACCGUGGAACUGCGUCUGAUACUGGAGGGCUUGAAUCCGGGAGAGGGAUGUGGAAUUCCAGGUGUAGCGGUGAAAUUCGUAGAUAUCAGGAGGAAUACCGAUGGCGAAGGCAGGUCUCUGGGCUGACACUGACGCUCAUGCACGAAAGCGUGGGGAACAAACAGG